rnacentral:rRNA from 1 species
UACGGAGGGUGCGAGCGUUGUCCGGAAUCAUUGGGCGUAAAGGGCGCGUAGGUGGCCCGGUCAGUUCGUGGUGAGAGCGCGGGGCUCAACCCUGCGUCGGCCAUGAAUACUGCCGCGGCUGGAGCACUGUAGAGGCAGGCGGAAUUCCGGGUGUAGCGGUGGAAUGCGUAGAGAUCCGGAAGAACACCGGUGGCGAAGGCGGCCUGCUGGGCAGUUGCUGACACUGAGGCGCGACAGCGUGGGGAGCAAACAGG